rnacentral:lncRNA from 10 species
UUCUUCUCAUUGUUUCUAUUCUCUCUUCUGGAACUCAGCAUUGACCUUCUCAUCCUAUUCUCCAUGUCUCUUAAUUUUUCUUUACUUUUAACCUCUGAUUUUUUUUUCUGUGAUGAAUUCCAGAUAAUUUCUUUUCUUUUUUGAAAUGUAUUUAUUUACUUGACAAAUAAAAAUUGUAUAUAUUUAUCAUGUACAAAAUGAUGCUUUGAAAUAUGUACUUUGUGGAAUGGUUCAAUAGAGCAAAGUUACAUAUGUAUUACCUCAUGUACUUACACUUUUUGUGAUGAGAACACUUAAAAUCUACUCUCUUAGUGGUUUUCAAGAAUAUAAUACAUUAUUAUUACAGUCAUUGUGUUGUACAAUAGAUCUCCUGAACUUAUUCCUCCUAACCGAAAUUUUGUAUCCUUUGAUCAACAUUUCCCCAAACCUUGUCCCCAGCCUCUCCUGAUUUUUUCAUUUCUAAUUUUUGAAUUCCCUCUUCAAUUAUAGUUAAUGUGUUACUUAAUGCAUCUCAUCUACUGAAUUUUUAUUUUAAGUAUUUUCUAUUUUAUUUAUAUAAGUUCUAUCUGAUUCCCUUUCAAAAUUUCUUGAAUACCUCUGAAAGUCACCCUACUCAUCCUCUUAAUUCACUCUUUUAUUUUCUUUAAACAUACUAUACAUACUUGUUUUUUAGAUCUGUUAGUUCUAGUAUCUACAGUCUUUGCAUGUCUAAUUCUGCUAUUUAUUGCUUCUGUUGACACCCAGGACCACU